rnacentral:rRNA from 1 species
GCCUACGGGGCGCAGCAGUAGGGAAUUUUCGUCAAUGGGCGCAAGCCUGAACGAGCAAUGCCGCGUGAACGAGGAAGGUCUUCGGAUCGUAAAGUUCUGUUGAAGGGGAAAAAGAGCGGAGAGAGGAAAUGGUCUCCGAUUGAUAUUACCCUUCGAGGAAGUCACGGCUAACUCCGUGCCAGCAGCCGCGGUAAUACGGAGGAUGCGAGCGUUAUCCGGAUUUAUUGGGUUUAAAGGGUGCGCAGGCGGACCAUCAAGUCAGCGGUAAAAUCGUGGGGCCCAACCCCAUCCCGCCGUUGAAACUG